rnacentral:rRNA from 1 species
UACAGAGGUGGCAAGCGUUGUUCGGAAUUACUGGGCGUAAAGGGCGCGUAGGCGGCCUUCUAAGUCAGACGUGAAAUCCCCAGGCUUAACUUGGGAACUGCGUCUGAUACUGGGAGGCUUGAGUGCGGGAGAGGGAUGUGGAAUUCCAGGUGUAGCGGUGAAAUGCGUAGAUAUCUGGAGGAACACCGGUGGCGAAGGCGGCAUCCUGGACCAUUACUGACGCUGAGGAGCGAAAGCCAGGGGAGCAAACGGG